AAUUUUUUCUACACUUUCCUCUGAUAAUAAUUGUCACCUCAACUUGAAACUUCUCUGUGAUUAAUGUCUCAAUAUAAGAUAAAACUU